GAAAUGCGAUAAGUAAUGUGAAUUGCAGAAUUCAGUGAAUCAUCGAAUCUUUGAACGCAUCUUGCUCUCCUUGGUAUUCCUUGGAGCAUGCCUGUUUGAGUAUCAUGAAAUCUUCAAAGUAAAUCUUUUGUUAACUCAAUUGGUUUCUACUUUGGUAUUGGAGGUCUUUGCAGCUUCACACCUGCUCCUCUUUGUUCAUUAGCUGGAUCUCAGUGUUAUGCUUGGUUCCACUCGGCGUGAUAAGUUAUCUAUCGCUGAGGACACUGUAAAAGGUGGCCAAGGUAAAUGCAGAUGAACCGCUUCUAAUAGUCCAUUGACUUGGACAAUACUUUUAUGAUCUGAUCUCAAAUCAGGUAGGACUACCCGCUGAACUUAAGC
rnacentral:misc_RNA from 1 species